CGCGAAAUUAAUUGAGCUAAGUUAAUAUAAGUAUUAGCUUAUUGAUAUGUAGCAUAAUAUAAAUAAAAUAUUUACUUAGGGGUGACAUGCUUUUCAAAUUUAAUGAUAUCUCGAUAUCUUAGAAAAACAUUAAGUGUUUAAUAUAAUUAAGUAGUGAUAAGGCUAUUUAAAUAUCAUAAAUAAUUAAAUCUAUUUUUAUUUUGAUUUAAUCAUUAAAUAACCAAUAAAUUAAUAUAAAUGUAAAAUUUUUAUGUUUACUAUAAGCAUACAUUAAAUAUUAAAAUAUGUAAAUAAUGUAAUUAUUAGUAAAUUAAAAGAUGUUUAAAAUGAACUCGGCAACAUACCUUUCAACUGUUUACCAAAAACAUAGCUACGCGUAUAUAUUCGUAGUAAUUUCUGCUCAAUGAAAUAUUAAAUAGCCGCAGUACUCUGACUGUGCAAAGGUAGCGUAAUAAUUUGACUUAUAAUUGAAGUCCUGUAUGAAAGAAUAUUUGAGGGGUAACUUUAUUUGAAAUAUGUAUUGAAAUUACUUUUUAAGUGCAAAACCUUAUACUAAAAUGAUAGACGAGAAGACCCUAGAAAUUUUUAUAAUAAUGUUACAUUCUUUUUUGUUGGGGCAACAAAGUAACAAUUAAUUUACUGUGCUGUACAAGAAUAUGCUUAUAAACGAUAAAAUUACUCUAGGGAUAACAGCGUAAUUUAUUAGAGUUUGCGACCUCGAUGUUGGAUUAGGAAGCAAUUGUUUAGAA
rnacentral:rRNA from 1 species